CCUCCUUUCUAAGGAUUGUCACGAAAGCGCCUGGCCUUGAGCCGGGAAGAGCUUCGCGACUUUUCAUGGAACAUUGCCGUCGUCCUCAUGUCCUUUCAUCACUGGAGAUUGCCUCAAGGCCUUGGUCUUGCGGCAUGACGCCUGAGCCGGCUCACGCCCCUCGCGGCUUUAUUGCCGUCGACGGUGGUGUAGGUCCGUAGCUCAGUUGGUUAGAGCGCACCCCUGAUAAGGGUGAGGUCGGUGGUUCAAAUCCACUCGGACCUACCAAGUUUUGGAAUUGGUGCGGGGCCUUAGCUCAGCUGGGAGAGCACCUGCUUUGCAAGCAGGGGGUCAUCGGUUCGAUCCCGAUAGGCUCCACCAAAUUAAUGAACAGUAAAAAAAGGUGGUGCAGCUUAGCAGAAGAUAAGCUUCAGCAAUUAUUUAAUAAAUUUUCUGGAAUUUUAUUUUUUUAAUAUCUUAAAACAAUUGAAAUCCGGAAGGUUUUUGGGAAAACACCAAGAUUCAAAUUGCGAAGGGUUCUUCCAAGGGGUUGAC
rnacentral:tRNA from 1 species